rnacentral:lncRNA from 1 species
GAAAAUGAAAAUGUGCAAAAAAUAAUCCUAAGCAUCAGGUGGUACAAGGUAAUGGUGAGUCUAUAAAGGGAAGAAUAUCAGAGAUAUACUGGUAGGCGUAACAUAGGGCUGUCGGAGUAGUCCAUAAAUCUCCAUCUACUGUUGACUCUAACUCUUGAGGACUCAUAAAAUAUUAGUUUGAUCAGACUCUAUGCGGUCGAGUUGCUCGGUGAUCUGUGCCAUCACAGGAGAAAUAUCUGCUCUACUAGGAUCCUCUAGAUCAUUGUCACCUCCUCCUCCAAGGCUCUGAAGUGGAUCACCAUCCUCAGGGACCGGUAGAACUCGGCGGGAUCUAGAAAAUAAUUUUUGAAAAUGAAGAUGACAAAAGGACAUUGGAUGUUUACAUUUAAUAAUUGAUUAGGAAUUUUUUUGGUAAAAAUUAUUUUUUAAAAUUACAUAUAAAUCAUUUUUUAAUAUAAUCUAUGUAAGAAUUAAUCUAUGUAAUAUAAUUUUGAAUUUUAUAUUUGAAGUAAGGACAAAUACACAGAAUAAAAAUGUAUAUAGUAGUGAACAUAGGGUAAAAUUGUAUUUAAUAACAACAUGCUCAUUAGUUAGCAUAUAACCAAACUAGCAAUAGAGUUUUCAUCUAUACAGGGAAAAAAAGUCCAUAUGAGUUUACGACUAUGAAGAUUUGCCACUAUUAAUUAGAAGAACUGAAACAAAUGAAAUGAAAGAUUUUUAUUAUGUCACUAUUGUUAUAUUGGCAAUGCAUGUAGUAAUAAUAUUUAUGCCUUUUCAAUUCAAUGCCAUGAAGAUAAAGCAGUUGUCAAAAGAAUAUACCCCACAAUAGCAUAAAGUUUUGCAAAUAUGAAUUCAAAAGAUGAAUAAUCAUUAAACGUACCUUAAAAAAAGCUUUUACCUUAAAGCCAAAUGGAUCUCUUUCUUCUCCAAAUAUAAAAUGUAUACAUUCAAAUACCCAAAGUAUAUACCCAAGCAAUAUAAUAUUUGUUCCAUUCUAAUAGUCAUAUGAGUUUAAGAAGAUUACCUAGGAGAUACGAGUAGCCGAUUCAAAAGCUCUUUCUUUUUUUUGAGUUUAUUAUAAGAAAGAAGAAAG